rnacentral:rRNA from 1 species
AUUGAACGCUGGCGGCAGGCCUAACACAUGCAAGUCGAGCGAGCGGCGGACGGGUGAGUAAUGUAUGGGGAACUGCCCGAUAGAGGGGGAUAACUACUGGAAACGGUGGCUAAUACCGCAUACUAUCGGAUGAACCCAGAUGGGAUUAGCUUGUAGGUGGGGUAAAGGCUCACCUAGGCGACGAUCCCUAGCUGGUCUGAGAGGAUGACCAGCCACACUGGGACUGAGACACGGUCCAGACUCCUACGGGAGGCAGCAGUGGGGAAUAUUGCACAAUGGGCGCAAGCCUGAUGCAGCCAUGCCGCGUGUAUGAAGAAGGCCUUCGGGUUGUAAAGUACUUUCAGUCGGGAGGCGUUACCGACAGAAGAAGCACCGGCUAACUCCGUGCCAGCCGCCGCGGUAAUUC